AUGAGCGGCCGCGGCGGAGUACUUUGCUUGCGGCGUAGACGAUGGCGCGCAUGCCGUGCUUGCUGCUGGAGCCGUGGGGCACCUCCUCGCCCACCCCGACAACAAGAAGAGCUGGUGGGAGGAAAUGGGUGGCUACCCAGCAACUGCUUGCUGGUUGCGCCAAUUUGGGGCUUGCUAGCAAUUGUGCUUGUCCCUGAACUAUAG
rnacentral:rRNA from 1 species